rnacentral:rRNA from 1 species
GUGGGGAAUAUUGCACAAUGGGGGAAACCCUGAUGCAGCGACGCCGCGUGAAGGAUGAAGUAUUUCGGUAUGUAAACUUCUAUCAGCAGGGAAGAAGAUGACGGUACCUGACUAAGAAGCCCCGGCUAACUACGUGCCAGCAGCCGCGGUAAUACGUAGGGGGCAAGCGUUAUCCGGAUUUACUGGGUGUAAAGGGAGCGUAGACGGCGAUGCAAGCCAGAUGUGAAAGCCCGGGGCUCAACCCCGGGACUGCAUUUGGAACUGCGUGGCUGGAGUGUCGGAGAGGCAGGCGGAAUUCCUAGUGUAGCGGUGAAAUGCGUAGAUAUUAGGAGGAACACCAGUGGCGAAGGCGGCCUGCUGGACGAUGACUGACGUUGAGGCUCGAAAGCGUGGGGAGCAAACAGGAUUAGAAACCCUUGUAGUCC